UACGGAGGGUGCGAGCGUUGUUCGGAAUUACUGGGCGUAAAGCGCGCGUAGGCGGCACUUUAAGUCAUUUGUGAAAGUCCACGGCUCAACCGUGGAAGUGCAUGUGAAACUGGAGUGCUUGAGUACUGGAGGGGGUGGUGGAAUUCCCGGUGUAGAGGUGAAAUUCGUAGAUAUCGGGAGGAAUACCGGUGGCGAAGGCGACCACCUGGCCAGAUACUGACGCUGAGGUGCGAAAGCGUGGGGAGCAAACAGGAUUAGAUACCCCCGUAGU
rnacentral:rRNA from 1 species